GCGGAAGUGGUGGAAUUGGUAGACACGCCAUCUUGAGGGGGUGGUGACUUAGGUCGUGGGGGUUCGAGUCCCCCUUUCCGCA
rnacentral:tRNA from 1 species